rnacentral:rRNA from 1 species
CCUACGGGUGGCAGCAGUGGGGAAUAUUGGGCAAUGGGCGCAAGCCUGACCCAGCAACGCCGCGUGAAGGAAGAAGGCUUUCGGGUUGUAAACUUCUUUUGUCAGGGAAGAGUAGAAGACGGUACCUGACGAAUAAGCCACGGCCAACUAUGGGCCAGCAGCCGCGGUAAUAGGUAGGUGGCAAGCGUUAUCCGGAUUUACUGGGGGUAAAGGGCGUGUAGGGGGGUUGACAAGUCAGAUGUGAAAUCCUGCGGCUUAACCACAGAACUGCAUUUGAAACUGUGGGUCUUGAGUACUGGAGAGGUAGGUGGAAUUCCUGGUGUAGCGGUGAAAUGCGUAGAUAUUAAGAGGAACACCAAUGGCGAAGGCGGUCUACUGGACCACAACUGACGGUGAGGCACGAAAGCGUGGGGAGCAAACAGGAUUAGAUACCCGUGUAGUC